rnacentral:lncRNA from 1 species
AUGUGACCCCAACCCCACCUCCCUCCCCACCCCAUGAUGUCCGAAAAAACCCAACAAAGAAAAUUGGCUGGGACCAAGAGAAAGUUCACAGACUAUCAUCAGUGGAACAGUGCUGGUGUUGGUACUGGAGCAACCGACACCAAAAAGAAGAAAAUAAAUAAUGGCACUAACCCUCAGACAACCACUUCUGGGGGGUUGCCAUUCACCUGAGGAUAAACAACAGAACCGAGCUCAGCUGAAAGAGGAAAAGAAGGCAAGCCACCAACAUCAGCAAGCCCUAAGGAGGCAGCUAGAGGCCCAGGAUCAUACCAUACGAAUCCUUAAGUGUCAGAAAACUGAACUGGAAACAGUGCUCCAUGACAGCCAGGAUGCUGCCAGGAAAUUUGAAGGUGGGAAUCUGGGCACCCCGUCAUCCUUCAACCUGGCACUUUCACAGGCCUUUGGGCUGCAGCUCAACCUCUCUCAUUCCAGAAGAUUCCAAGGAUCUGGCAGGCCGCCUGCAUCAUUCCUGGUACUUUGCAGGAGAGUUACAGCGGGCUCUCUCUGCUAUGUCCGCAGAGCACAAGAGGGUGGACAGGUACAUCGAGGAGUUAACAAAGGAGAGGGAAGCCCUGAGUCUGGAGCUGCACAGGAACAUCAUAACCAAUGAGGAGCUGAAGGAGAAAAAUGCCGAACUACAAGAAAAACUUCGACUGGUAGAAACUGAAAAGUCUGAGAUCCAGCUCCACAUCAAGGAGCUAAAAAGGAAACUGGAGACGGACAAAAUCCCGCUGCCACAGGUUCAAACCAACACUUUGCAGGAGAAGAUGUGGAGGCAGCAGGAGGAGCUACGGGAUCAGGAGAAGCUACGGAAGCACGAGGAGAAGAUGUGGAGACAGGAGCAGAGGCUGCGGGACCAGGAGAAGGAGCUGCGGGAGCAGGAGUAGCGGAUGCGAAAGCGGGAGCAGCAGAUGCGAAAGCGGGAGCAGCAGAUGCGGGAGCGGGAGCAGCAGAUGCGGGAGCGGGAGGAGCAGAUGCGGGAGCGGGAGGAGCAGAUGCGGGAGCGGGAGGAGCAGAUGGGGGAGCGGGAGGAGCAGAUGCGGAAGCGGGAGGAGCAGAUGCGGAAGCGGGAGGAGCAGAUGCGGAAGCGGGAGGAGCAGAUGGGGGAGCGGGAGGAGCAGAUGGGGGAGCGGGAGGAGCAGAUGCGGAAGCAGGAGGAGCAGAUGGGGAAGCAGGAGGAGCAGAUGCGGGAGCAGGAGGAGCAGGUGCGGAAGCAGGAGGAGCAGGUGCGGAAGCAGGAGGAGCAGGUGCGGAAGCAGGAGGAGCAGGUGCGGAAGCAGGAGGAGCAGGUGCGGAAGCAGGAGGAGCAGGUGCGGAAGCAGGAGGAGCAGGUGCGGAAGCAGGAGGAGCAGGUGCGGAAGCAGGAGGAGCAGGUGCGGAAGCAGGAGGAGCAGGUGCGGAAGCAGGAGGAGCAGGUGCGGAAGCAGGAGGAGCAGGUGCGGAAGCAGGAGGAGCAGGUGCGGAAGCAGGAGGAGCAGGUGCGGAAGCAGGAGGAGCAGGUGCGGAAGCAGGAGGAGCAGGUGCGGAAGCAGGAGGAGCAGACGGGGGAGCAGGAGGAGCAGAUGCGGAAGCAGGAGAAGCAGAUGCUGAAGCAGAAGAAGCAGAUGGGGAAGCAGGAGGAGCAGAUGGGGGAGCAGGAGGAGCAGAUGCGGAAGCAGGAGGAGCAGAUGCGGAAGCAGGAGGAGCAGAUGCGGAAGCAGGAGGAGCAGAUGCGGAAGCAGGAGGAGCAAAUGGCGGAGCAGGAGGAACAGAUGCAGAAGCAGGAGGAGCAGGUGCGAAAGCAGGAGGAGCAGGUGCGGAAGCAGGAAGAGCAGAUGCGGAAGCAGGAGGAGCAGAUGCGGAAGCAGGAGGAGCACAUGCGGAAGCAGGAGGAGCAGAUGCGGAAGCAGGAGAAGCAGAUGGGGGAGCAGGAGGAGCAGAUGCGGAAACAGAAAGAGCAGAUGCGGAAGCGGGAGGAGCAGGUGCGGAAGCGGGAGGAGCAGGUGCGGAAGCGGGAGGAGCAGAUGGGGGAGCAGGAGGAGCAGAUGCGGAAGCAGGUCGAGAGGCUGUGAUUCAAGGAGGAGAGGCUGUGGGUUGAGUAUGAGAAGAUGCAGGAGGAGGAGGAGAAGGUCCGGGGGCAGGUGGAGAAGAUGCGGGAGAAGAAGGAGAGGAUGGGAGAGCAGGAGGAGAAGAUGCAGGAGGAGCGGUGCUCAGAGCCCUGCCUCCCUCCCUCCAAAUAUCCUUGUGAUAUGAGCCAUGCUGGCAGCCUGAAGCCUGCACGAGAGGCUGGGAAGGGCUAUUCCCAUGACAACCGCACUGCACAGCAGAUCACGCAGCUGCCCCCUGGAAUGAAGAACACCCAGGAGCACCCAGGCUUAGGCAGCACCUCCUGCAUCCUAUUCUUCUACCGAGGAGACAAGAAAAAGAUCAAGAUCAUCAAUAUCUAA